AUACGGAGGGUGCGAGCGUUAUCCGGAUUUAUUAGGUUUAACGGGUGUGUAGGCGGGAGCCUAAGUCAGUGGUGAAAUCUCACAGCUUAACUGUGAAACUGCCAUUGAAACUGGGUUUCUUGAGUAUAGUUGAGGUAGGCGGAAUGUGUAAUGUAGCGGUGAAAUGUAUAGAUAUUACACAGAACACCGAUUGCGAAGGCAGCUUACUAAGCUAUUACUGACGCUGAUGCACGAAAGCGUGGGUAGCGAACAGGAUUAGAUACCCGAGUAGUCC
rnacentral:rRNA from 1 species